rnacentral:rRNA from 1 species
UACGGGGGGGGGCAAGCGUUUGUUCGGAAUUACUGGGCGUAAAGGGCGCGUAGGCGGCCUGCUAAGUUGGAUGUGAAAACUCUGGGCUCAACCCAGAGCCUGCAUUCAAUACUGACGGGCUAGAGUACUGGAGGGGAAAGCGGAAUUCCUGGUGUAGCGGUGAAAUGCGCAGAUAUCAGGAGGAACACCAAUUGCGAAGGCAGCUCGCUGGGACGUUACUGACGCUGAGACGCGAAAGCGUGGGGAGCAAACAGG